rnacentral:lncRNA from 1 species
AUUAAAUCUAAACCUAGCUGUGAUGGUUUCUUGUUUCUUUGCAGGAUGUAUUUUGUUUUGCUUGUUAAACAAGUAACUCUACAAAUCGGAAAACGUGCCUUGUCAGUAUACCCCAGAUGGAGUUUUGCUCUUGUUGCCCAAGCUGGAGUGCAAUGGCGUGAUCUCAGCUUACUGCAACCUCUGCCUCCUGGGUUCAAGCAAUUCUCC